rnacentral:rRNA from 1 species
GAUGAACGCUAGCGGGAGGCCUAACACAUGCAAGCCGAGCGGUAUUGUUUCUUCGGCAAUGAGAGAGCGGCGUACGGGUGCGUAACACGUGUGCAACCUGCCUUUAUCUGGGGGAUAGCCUUUCGAAAGGAAGAUUAAUACUCCAUAAUAUAUUGAACGGCAUCGUUUAAUAUUGAAAGCUCCGGCGGAUAGAGAUGGGCACGCGCAAGAUUAGCUAGUUGGUGAGGUAACGGCUCACCAAGGCGAUGAUCUUUAGGGGGCCUGAGAGGGUGAUCCCCCACACUGGUACUGAGACACGGACCAGACUCCUACGGGAGGCAGCAGUGAGGAAUAUUGAUCAAUGGGUGCAAGCCUGAACCAGCCAUCCCGCGUGAAGGACGACUGCCCUAUGGGUUGUAAACUUCUUUUGUAUAGGGAUAAACCUACCCUCGAGAGGGUAGCUGAAGGUACUAUACGAAUAAGCACCGGCUAACUCCGUG